CAGCUCUGCUUUCAAGCCCUCUUGGCUGAUACCUUGCUCCUUGUCUGCACAGAAGCCACUGCCCAAGAAUCAUCGCUGCAACCGCUCUGAAGGGCACCGUUUCACGCAGGUGUUACUGAGCUGAAGGACUUUGAAUCCGCUCUCUCCCUCUGCGGCGCUGCCAUCGUUACCAGAAAGAGAGAAGCCCCGGGCAGGCUGCUGCGUGCGGGAGCGCCGCCGUCCCAGCCACUGCUCUCUGCCGCAAGGCGAAGGGGAAGAACGUGCUUAUGAGGAGGGCAGGUUAAUUGAUCCCUUUUUGAAAAAUCAUGUUGCUCACCUUGAACUUUAAGGAUAAUUAUAAGGCACGAGGCAGCUGUAUUAUUUUCUGGAGUGUGUUCCAAGGUAUUCAUGAUUAAACUAUCAAAAUCGAGGGUGCAUAACGAACUGUUCAGAGCAAACGAAGCUGACUAAAUAUUUCAAAAGUGGUUUUGUUCUGGUGUUUUCUUGCGUCUCAUUAGGGUUGAUUUUCAAAAUGCUUAGGCCUCAU